GAUGAACGCUGGCGGCGUGCCUAAUACAUGCAAGUCGAGCGAACGGACGAGAAGCUUGCUUCUCUGAUAUUAGCGGCGGACGGGUGAGUAACACGUGGAUAACCUACCUAUAAGACUGGGAUAACUUCGGGAAACCGUAGCUAAUACCGGAUAAUAUUUUGAACCGCAUGGUUCAAAAGUGAAAGACGGUCUUGCUGUCACUUAUAGAUGGAUCCGCGCUGCAUUAGCUAGUUGGUAAGGUAACGGCUUACCAAGGCAACGAUGCAUAGCCGACCUGAGAGGGGGAUCCGCCACACCGGAACCUAGACACCGUCCCAAAUCCCUAGGGAGGCAGCAGUAGGGAAUCUUCCGCAAUGGGCGAAAGCCUGACGGAGCAACGCCGCGUGAGUGAUGAAGGUCUUCGGAUCGUAAAACUCUGUUAUUAGGGAAGAACAUAUGUGUAAGUAACUGUGCACAUCUUGACGGUACCUAAUCAGAAAGCCACGGCUAACUACGUG
rnacentral:rRNA from 1 species